rnacentral:rRNA from 1 species
AACGAACGCUGGCGGCAGGCCUAACACAUGUAAGUCGAGCGCCCCGCAAGGGGAGCGGCAGACGGGUGAGUAACGCGUGGGAAUCUACCCGAUGGUACGGAAUAGCCCAGGGAAACUAGGAGUAAUACCGUAUAAGCCCGCAAGGGGAAAGAUUCAUCGCCAUCGGAUGAGCCCGCGUUGGAUUAGCUAGUUGGCGGGGUAAUGGCCCACCAAGGCGACGAUCCAUAGCUGGUCUGAGAGGAUGAUCAGCCACACUGGGACUGAGACACGGCCCAGACUCCUACGGGAGGCAGCAGUGGGGAAUAUUGGACAAUGGGCGCAAGCCUGAUCCAGCCAUGCCGCGUGAGUGACGAAGGUCUUCGGAUUGUAAAGCUCUUUUGGCGGGGACGAUAAUGACGGUACCCGCAGAAUAAGCCCCGGCUAACUUCGUGCCAGCCGCCGCUGUAAGAC